AACUUUUUACAAUGUAUCUCUCGGCUCUUGCAUCGAAUAAGAACGCAGUCAAUUGCGAAAAGUAAUGUGAUGUGCACCCUUUGAGAAGCAUUAUACUCUUUGAACGCACCUUGCGCGCAUCUCACGAUGCGAGGUCCUGUUUGAGCGUGUUCUAUUAUGAAUAGUAUUUGACAUUUAUUCACUUUACAAGAGUGACUGAACGUUGAAACGUAUGCAGGGCCCGAACGACUCUAGGGCGCCACGGGCAGCAGCGCGACAAGCACCACUGCGAACCGAGGAACUGCACGUCGUGUGCAUAAUACAAUAAAGUAUAUUGCACACGACAACACAAAUACACACACACGCACCUCAAAUCAGGAUAGAGGACCCGCUGAACUUAAGCAUAUCAAUAAGCGGAGGCU
rnacentral:misc_RNA from 1 species